CUUUAUUUUAAUUGCAAUGAUUUUAAUAACCACAUACAAAUGUCUUUAUGAAAGAGAUCAUCAAUAUGUAUAACUUUUUAUGUAACUAUCCAGAAAAGUCCCGUAUGAUGAAUAAUACAGAACCUAUUUCUGGAUUUUGAAAGUUACAUAUCUUGAAAACUUGAUUGCUGAUGGACUAAAGAAACAAAUAGCAAAAGAUUGUUUUUGGGAGGAGUUUUCCUUUUCAUAGAGGUCUUGUGGUUACGUUUUAAGUGACUCUUAAAACAGCUUGGGAGAAUGAGAGACGUUAGCAAAUAAAACAAUGUCUUCUUUUUGAUUGUCCAUAUGGUGAGGCUGUUUUUAUAUAAUUGAUUGUGAUUUAAUUCCCUCAUUCUUCAGCUCUUUUGUAAUCAAUAGCUUUAGGUCAACAGACUUCAGCUCAACAUUCCAUUGUAAAUAAUGUGUAUAAUAUUAAAGUUGAGUUUAUAGAUUUCUUUUUUUCAAGGAUAACUGCAAUAGGGACCCUGCUCAUUCUAGAAUGUACCUAUUUUGACUGUGAAAUACUAGAGAAAGAACAACGCGGAUUAAGGAUAAAACAACAAUACGGAUUAGGGAUAAAACAACAAUACGGAUUAGGGAUAAAACAACAAUACGGAUUAAGGAUUAAAAGAACAACACAGAUUAAGGAUUAAAGAACAACACAGAUUAAGGAUUAAAGAACAACACAGAUUAAGGAUUAAAGAACAACACGGAUUAAGGAUAAAACAACAAUACGGAUUAAGGAUAAAACAACAAUACGGAUUAGGGAUAAAACAACAAUACGGAUUAAGGAUUAAAAGAACAACACGGAUUAGGAUUAAAAGAACAACACAGAUUAAGGAUUAAAGAACAACACAGAUUAAGGAUUAAAGAACAACACGGAUUAAGGAUAAAACAACAACACGGAUUAGGGAUAAAAGAACAACACAGAUUAGGGUUAAAAAAUUCUGGUAACAUUCCCAAAAUUACAAAAAAUGUUUUAAAAAAUGCCAUUUGGAAGAUUUCUGGAAUCAGGAGGAAAUAAUAAAGGAAAACUGGAAUCCUCCAACCAGGAUUUCUGGAAAACCUGAAAAUGUUUGGGAAAUUACCGGAACUUUGCAACCUUAACUAUGAUGGCUGGAUUGAGUUGAUAUGCGUAGAUUGUUAUUACGUCAUCAUCAUCCCUCUUAUUCUGACCAUUCCAGUACCAUAGGUUGGAUGCAAAAUUACGGUACAUUUUCCCAGAAUUCCCAGGUUUCACAGAAAUUCUGGUUGCAGGGUUCGGGAUUGUCUACUUAUUCCCUCCUGAUUCCAGAAAUCCAGGGAAUCUUGGAAAAGUUCAAAACAGUGUUUGCAACCCUAACAGUAAGGUUUUGAAAUGCUGUCAAUAUCAGCUAUCACAGGGCCAAUGCAUACCGUACAUGGACUUGGUCACAGGGCCGAUGCAUACCGUACAUGGACUUGGUCAGGGCCGAUGCAUACCGUACAUGGACUUGGUCAGGGCCGAUGCAUACCGUACAUGGACUUGGUCACAGGGCCGAUGCAUACCGUACAUGGACUUGGUCACAGGGCCGAUGCAUACCGUACGUGGACUUGGUCACAGGGCCGAUGCAUACCGUACGUGGACUUGGUCAGGGCCGAUGCAUACCGUACAUGGACUUGGUCACAGGGCCGAUGCAUACCGUACAUGGACUUGGUCACAGGGCCGAUGCAUACCGUACAUGGACUUGGUCACAGGGCCGAUGCAUACCGUACAUGGACUUGGUCACAGGGCCGAUGCAUACCGUACGUGGACUUGGUCAGGGCCGAUGCAUACCGUACAUGGACUUGGUCACAGGGCUGAUGCAUACCGUACAUGGACUUGGUCACAGGGCUGAUGCAUACCGUACAUGGACUUGGUCACAGGGCUGAUGCAUACCGUACGUGGACUUGGUCACAGGGCUGAUGCAUACCGUACGUGGACUUGGUCACAGGCCGAUGCAUACCGUACAUGGACUUGGUCAGGGCUGAUGCAUACCGUACAUGGACUUGGUCAGGGCUGAUGCAUACCGUACGUGGACUUGGUCAGGGCCGAUGCAUACCGUACAUGGACUUGGUCAGGGCUGAUGCAUACCGUACAUGGACUUUGUCACAGGCCGAUGCAUACCGUACAUGGACUUGGUCAGGGCUGAUGCAUACCGUACGUGGACUUGGUCAGGGCCGAUGCAUACCGUACAUGGACUUGGCCAGGGCUGAUGCAUACCGUACGUGGACUUUGUCAGGGCCGAUGCAUACCGUACAUGGACUUGGUCAGGGCUGAUGCAUACCGUACGUGGACUUGGUCAGGGCCGAUGCAUACCGUACAUGGACUUGGUCAGGGCCGAUGCAUACUGUACAUGGACUUGGUCAGGGCUGAUGCAUACCGUACGUGGACUUGGUCAGGGCUGAUGCAUACCGUACAUGGACUUGGUCAGGGCUGAUGCAUACCGUACGUGGACUUUGUUAAUAAUGAACUGCUACAAAACAAUAAUAGAGAGAACUUGUCUGUAUGCAGCCAUGUGAAUGUAAAAUAUUUCUGAGGGUUUUAUUACAACUAUUGAUGAAAAAAUGGUGAUGUUGUUCACGUGACUCAGUGAAGUAACUUGUAUUUGUUUUCAAAAGCAUUAAAUGAUUUCAAUAGUCAA
rnacentral:lncRNA from 1 species